UACGGGGGGAGCAAGCGUUGUUCGGAUUUACUGGGCGUAAAGGGCGCGUAGGCGGCCAGCACAAGUCGGUUGUGAAAUCUCCGGGCUUAACUCGGAAAGGUCAACCGAUACUGUGCGGCUAGAGUGCGGAAGGGGCAACUGGAAUUCUCGGUGUAGCGGUGAAAUGCGUAGAUAUCAGGAGGAACACCCAUGGCGAAGGCAGCAAACUGGUCAUCAACUGACGCUGAGGCGCGAAAGCGUGGGUAGCAAACAGG
rnacentral:rRNA from 1 species